rnacentral:ribozyme from 1 species
UCUUUUCCACUCUCUCUUGUCUCCUCUUAGUUCGUUCUUCUGUUCGUCUACUUUCGUAAAUAUGGCUUUGUAUGUCUUGACUGGUUCCCAAGAGGAACAAAUGAAAGAGCUUUUUUCUUUUUUUCAGUCUCUUAAAGAGGAACAAGAGAAAAAAGAAG